UUCCGAUUAGCGCAGUUUGGUAGCGCACUUGGUUUGGGUCCAAGGGGUCGCAGGUUCAAAUCCUGCAUCGCCGACCA
rnacentral:tRNA from 1 species